UUUUUUUUUUUUUUUAGUUAAUUAACUCUUCCUAUAUCAGCCUGCAAGUUCUACUGUUAUUUGUUCUUCCCAUUGCACUGGUGAGGGUGGGGAGUGAAUUGCUGCUGUGGUGCUUAAUUGCCAGCUGCAUGACAGUGACAAUAGGUUGUUCUUAUUGUGAGGUCUCACAUUUUGGGUGGAAGUGCUAGGUGUGAUAAAAACUCUAUGAAUUACUUCUACACCCCAAAUUAGUUUUGCUUUUUGGAUAAAUGAACUCUUCAGUGGUGGUCAACUGAUGUUCAGCUCUCAGCACUCUGACUAACAGGAAUGUAAUGCUUCCAUUAUUUUUUCCUGUCGCCAUCACAGUUCUGAGUGCUGGAAAAAGCUGCAUUUUGAAUGAAAAGGAAAAAAAGGUUCCUAAGUAAACACAAAAAUAAAUUAGCACUGAAACUGUUACCUUCUCAUCAAUUAGCAUAGAAGAGAACAUGUUAUGGUAAAUUCUGGUAUUCCAAUUUUAUUUUAUUUUUUUUACAUUCUCUUGGCUGCCAGAGUUUCACCCGCCGGCAUGGUCCCAGCAGCUGAGCAGGUGCGUCACGCAGUGAGGGGCUGGGAAAUGAAUCACAUCACUCGCUUUGCCAGGGAGUUUUCAGAAUAGCAAAAUGCGAGUGGGAGCAGCUUUAAAUUAAAACUAACAGAGGCUGUUUAGCACUAGGACAGAAAUAAGAGCAAAUAAAAGCAAAAUUCUGCAGAAAAAUCUCUUGGUGCGUGAAGCACCUGAGAGCACUUGCCAAGGGAAAAGCUGGUGGGUGGGGGUGUCCCGGGUUGGGGCUGUGCUGCUCCCCUGGCACGGAGAACCCCAAGACCCUCCCAGGGCUGUCCCAGGGACCGAGCGGCUGCUGCUCUGUUUUCUGAAAGCAUUUUAUUUGCUUAGUGCCUAGUAUGUGAAAGAUCUUAGCAAAGAUCCAGCCAUCUUAAUAGGUGCUCAUAUAAUACAGUCCUCCCUGUGUUUUUUCUCCUGCAGCAGCCACUAUUAUAACUUCUCAUAUAGUUCCUGAGAGUGAGUUAAACCUCUCUCCCUUUCUCACCCUCACCCCUGAAGUGCGAAGUUUCAAAGCAAAUAGAAAAAGAGCCAACAAUUAAAUUAAUGUUCUGGUGAGGCUGUUGUGUAGGGCUAUGUGUUACUGGGAUGUAUUCUUUUACCACCGUGUGAAGUGCUGAACAGAUCUUGAGAGUGAAUUUAAAGCCACUGACCAAGUGGUCUGUCUUACAUGUCCACGUGCCUUCCCCAUAUCAGUUUGCAGUGCCUGAAAUCUCUUCUUGGGACAGGCACAAACAUUCUGUACAACCACCAUUAAACAGGAACACUGAUGCCCUGGCAUGAAGUACUUGUUAUGAGGAUAUUUUGUACUGCUCACUCUAUUCAACCAUGUGGUCCAUGGAAAAUGGAUGUUUUUCAAUUCACAGUGAUCACUGAGCUUCUUUAGUUUUGUGGAAAAUGUUUGUAGACUUCACUCAGGUCAUUUUAGGGUAGAAAUAAUUUGGCUUGGCAGUCAUAUCUGAAGGAUAAUACACAAGAUAGGCAAUUGCUUUAAAUUACAAGUACAUGGAAAACAUUAAUCUAUUGUUUUCAAAUCUCAUGGCUUUUUAUUUUUUUCCCAGUGAGACUACCUUCCAUUAGUCUGGAAGGUAAUUCAGAUCACCAUGAUAUCUUGAUUUAAACUGGCACUAUUGCAAGGUGCAAUUACUGUGAAACAGCAAAUACUGAAUUAGUAUUGAUGCUUACAAUGCCUUUUGGACUGGUUUUUGGUAUGUUAUUCACAUGCCUAUUGGUAACCUUGAUAUGGGUCAUAUUGAUAGUUUACUGUAGGGGUGUCUUCUUUUUUCUGGAGUUCUUAUGAAAUUUGUGCUGCUGUAUUGCUUCUCUAAGGUGUCUGAGAUAAAAAUCUUGCAAUUUUUGGAUUAUUUUGAAUAUGCAGGUUAUGUCAUAGGAUUUAAUGAUAUUUCUGAAAGAUUAAACCAACAGCCUAUAGGCUUAAGUGUGGUAAUCAAGAAUCUCUACCUCCACUGGCAAGGUAUUUUUAGAAUGCUGAAAGGCAGAGGAACAUACCUUGAAAAUGUGUAGCUUUCAAAACUAUAGACUGGGACAGAGAAGAAAAAAAAAAAAAAAA
rnacentral:lncRNA from 1 species